rnacentral:rRNA from 1 species
AGAGUUAGAUCAUGGCUCAGAAUCAACGCUGGCGGCGUGCCUCAGACAUGCAAGUCGAACGAUUAAAGUUUCUUCGGAGGGUGUAUAAAGUGGCGCACGGGUGAGUAACACGUAAGUAAUCUACCCUCGGGUGGGGAAUAACAACCGGAAACGGUUGCUAAUACCGCAUAAUGCAGCGGCUCCUUAUGGAGACAGUUGUUAAAGGAUUUAUUCGCCUGAGGAGGAGCUUGCGGCAAAUUAGCUAGUUGGUAAGGUAAUGGCUUACCAAGGCUACGAUCUGUAGCCGGUCUAAGAGGACGGUCGGUCACACUGACACUGAAUAACGGGUCAGACUCCUACGGGAGGCAGCAGUCGGGAAUUUUGGGCAAUGGGCGAAAGCCUGACCCAGCAACGCCGCGUGAAGGAUGAAGUAUUUCGGUAUGUAAACUUCGAAAGAAUAGGAAGAAUUAAUGACGGUACUAUUUAUAAGGUCCGGCUAACUACGUGCCAGCAGCCGCGGUAAUACGUAGGGACCAAGCGUUGUUCGGAUUUACUGGGCGUAAAGGGCGCGUAGGCGGCAUGACAAGUCACUUGUGAAAUCUCUGGGCUUAACUCAGAACGGCCAAGUGAUACUGUCGCGCUAGAGUGCAGAAAGGGCAAUCGGAAUUCUUGGUGUAGCGGUGGAAUGCGUAAUAUCAAGAGGAACACCUGAGGCGAAGGCGGGUUGCUAGGCUGACACUGACGCUGAGGCGCGAAAGCCAUGGG